rnacentral:lncRNA from 1 species
GAACUCUUUCUCUCUCAACCCGAAUGACCCUGGCCAGGGAUUUGUCUGAGCAAGAACACAUAGGAUAUUCCUCUCAUGAUGCCGAGAGUGGAUGAUCCUCUAUUGACACUCAAUAGCCCUCGUAAGGUUGACUACCACUCCCAAUGACCAGCUGUACUAGAUCUGGGAACAACCAAACCUAUAAGUCUGGUAUCAAAGAGUGGAGCACUUAUACAGGACAUCCUUGGUGUCUCAAGUCUAAGGACCAGAUACACCACUAGGACUACGGAAUCGCUGUCUGACAAUAAGGCAUCAUCAACCAUCCAGCAUUCCGUAAGCGGAUCAAUCAGUGAACUCAUUCUCCAAUGAGCACCUGUACUGUAUCCCUAGUGUCCCUACAUGAGCAGCUAUGAGACCAGCUGCAUCCAUCAUAUGGACGGGUAUACAGCACACCAGUCUAUCCGGUUAUCACGAUGUCCCUCUCGAGUAACCUAUGACCGGGAUUAUUUAGGAUAUGUGUUUAAAGGUGAAUCGAUCUCAUUAUCGUGAUCUCAUCACGAUCCGAUUCCCAUUGCACAAAUCCAAGGACAUCACAAUAUAUGUAUACAUUUAUGCAAUAGUUAUAAAGUGAUAUACGCCAAAAUAUAAUAAGCAAAAAGAUUCUGUAUCAAGUCACACGUGCCAUCACUCACGUGAUUGGCUUGC